AUGGAGUCUGUGCUCCGUUGGGUUUUCCUUGUCGCUAUUUUAAAAGGUGUCCAGGGUGAGGUGCAGCUGGUGGAGUCUAGGGGAGACCUGGUGAAGCCUGGGGGGUCCCUGAGACUCUCCUGUGUGGCCUAUGGAUUCACCUUCAGUAGCUACAGCAUGCAAUGUGUCCGUCAGGCUCCAGGGAAGGGGGUGCAGUGGGUUGCAUACAUUAACAGCGGUGGAAGUAGCACAAGCUCCGCAGAUGCUGUGAAGGGUCGAUUCAUCAUCUCCAGAGACAACGUCAAGAACACGCUAUAUCUGCAGAUGAACAGCCUGAGAGCCGAGGACACCGCCGUGUAUUACUGUGCGAGUGAUACAGUGAGUCGACCUAAGUGUGAGCCCCGACACAAAAUCUACCUGUAUAAGGGGAUCAGGACCACCAGGGUGUGCACACUCCUCCCCACUUCUGCCUUGAAGACCCAGGAGCAGGUGCAGAUGGAGCUUCUGGGCAGGUUUCAUGGAGCAGUUUCCCCCAGGGAGUCUCUCUGA